rnacentral:rRNA from 1 species
GACGAACGCUGGCGGCGUGCCUAAUACAUGCAAGUCGAACGCUUCUUUCCUCCCGAGUGCUUGCACUCAAUUGGAAAGAGGAGUGGCGGACGGGUGAGUAACACGUGGGUAACCUACCCAUCAGAGGGGGAUAACACUUGGAAACAGGUGCUAAUACCGCAUAACAGUUUAUGCCGCAUGGCAUAAGAGUGAAAGGCGCUUUCGGGUGUCGCUGAUGGAUGGACCCGCGGUGCAUUAGCUAGUUGGUGAGGUAACGGCUCACCAAGGCCACGAUGCAUAGCCGACCUGAGAGGGUGAUCGGCCACACUGGGACUGAGACACGGCCCAGACUCCUACGGGAGGCAGCAUG